GACGAACGCUGGCGGCGUGCCUAAUACAUGCAAGUAGAACGCUGAAGGAGGAGCUUGCUUCUCCGGAUGAGUUGCGAACGGGUGAGUAACGCGUAGGUAACCUGCCUGGUAGCGGGGGAUAACUAUUGAAAACGUUAGCUAAUACCGCAUAGGAGUGGAUUUCGCAUAACAUUUGCUUAAAAGUUGCAACUGCCCAACUACCAGAUGGACCUGCGUUUUAUUAGCUAGUUGGUGAGGUAACGGCUAACCAAGGAAACGAUACAUAGCCGACCUGAGAGGGUGAUCGGCCACACUGGGACUGAGACACGGCCCAGACUCCUACGGGAGGCAGCAGUAGGGAAUCUUCGGCAAUAGACGGAAGUCUGACCGAGCAACGCCGCGUGAGUGAAGAAGGGUUUCGGAUCGUAAAGCUCUGUUGUAAGAGAAGAACGAGUGUGAGAGUGGAAAGUUCACACUGUGACGGUAUCUUACCAGAAAGGGACGGCUAACUACGUG
rnacentral:rRNA from 1 species